rfam:Phycicoccus sp. Root563 contig_1, whole genome shotgun sequence.
GGUCAUGAGUGCCAGCGGAAAGCCCCGGCUCGCUGGCCGGCAACCCUCCUCCGCGGUGGGGUGCCCCGGGUGAGGACCAGGCGCACGGCACCUGCCGUGCGCAAGCGCGGGAG